CCCCUUCCCAGGCAGUGGGGGUCUUGAGCCUCAGGAGGGCCCAGCAGAGAGGCUGGACAUGCUAUCAGCCAUUAGUAGGAAUGGUGGGCAAGUGGGAGCUGGUGGUGCCAGCAGGAUGAUAGGGGAUGGGAUGGCAGCUUGAUUUUCCUAGGCGCAUGACGCUGUCCUGCCAAGCCCAGAGAAUCCCAGUGUUUUGGAGCUGAUGGGCCUUUAGGCACCACAGAUUCCCAACUCUCUUUCCCCCUGUUCUUUUCCCAUGAGACCGUGGAGGUGUGCCGCCCUGGGAGUUAGGGGCAGGGCCCACCUUCUGCUCGGCCUCAGUCUGCCAGGAGGGGUGGGAGCCGAAUGAAAAGAUUCUUUCCGAAGGCACAUCUCAGUCCGUACCAGGAGUAACUACCGCUUACCUGCUCAAUGCCGUGCCGCCCUUCUCUUCUCCCGCAUCAUCGACCUGGCAACCUACAACGAUCAACUCUCCGGCCCUGUUAAGAGAAGUCUCCUACCCACUUCUAACCACAUUGCCAGAAGUCUUCCCUCUCCGGAUGGGGACUCGCAGGAUCCCAUCCAGGACACCACAUUCCAAUUAGUCAUCGAAUCUCCUUAAGCUCCUCUGGGCCGUGAUAAUUUCUCAGACUUCCCUUGUUUUUGAUGGAGUACUGGUCAGGUAUUUGGUAGAUGGUCCCUCAGCUGGGGUUUAUCUCAUGUUUUUCUCAUGGUUCAUCUGGGAUUAUGGGUUUUGGGAGGAAGACUGUGGGGGUAAACUGCCCUUCUCAUUACAUCAUAUCAAGAAUACAUGCUAUCAACAUGACUUAUCACUGUUGCUGCUGACCUUGAGCACUCGACAGAGGUGGCAUUGGUCAGGAGACUCCACUGCGAGGUUA